rnacentral:rRNA from 1 species
UACAGAGGGGGCAAGCGUUAUUCGGAAUUAUUGGGCGUAAAGGGCGCGUAGGCGGCCUGGCAAGUGGAUGGUGAAAUCCCUCGGCUUAACCGAGGAACUGCCAUCCAGACUGCUUGGCUUGAGACCGGGAGAGGUGAGUGGAAUUCCCAGUGUAGCGGUGAAAUGCGUAGAUAUCGAGAGGAACACCUGCGGCGAAGGCGGGUAGCUGGGCCGACACUGACGCUGAGGCGCGAAAGCCAGGGGAGCGAACGGG